AUUGAACGCUGGCGGCAGGCCUAACACAUGCAAGUCGAACGAGUGGCGGACGGGUGAGUAAUGUCUGGGAAACUGCCCGAUGGAGGGGGAUAACUACUGGAAACGGUAGCUAAUACCGCAUACCAUCGGAUGUGCCCAGAUGGGAUUAGCUAGUAGGGGGGGUAACGGCUCACCUAGGCGACGAUCCCUAGCUGGUCUGAGAGGAUGACCAGACAAACGGGAAUUGAGACACGUGCAAGACUCCUACGGGAGGCAGCAGUGGGGAAGAUUGCACAAUGGGCGCAAGCCUGAUGCAGCCAUGACGCGUGUGUGAAGAAGGCCUUCGGGUUGGAAAGUACUUUCAGCGAGGAGGCGUUAAUCGCAGAAGAAGCACCGGCUAACUCCGUGCCAGCAGACGCGGUAAUAC
rnacentral:rRNA from 1 species